rnacentral:tRNA from 1 species
GGGGAUGUAGUUCAGUGGUAGAGCGCUCGCUUUGCAAGUGAGAGGCCCCGGGUUCAAUCCCCGGCAUCUCCA